UACGGAGGGUGCGAGCGUUAAUCGGAAUUACUGGGCGUAAAGCGCAUGCAGGUGGUUUGUUAAGUCAGAUGUGAAAGCCCGGGGCUCAACCUCGGAAUAGCAUUUGAAACUGGCAGACUAGAGUACUGUAGAGGGGGGUAGAAUUUCAGGUGUAGCGGUGAAAUGCGUAGAGAUCUGAAGGAAUACCGGUGGCGAAGGCGGCCCCCUGGACAGAUACUGACACUCAGAUGCGAAAGCGUGGGGAGCAAACAGGAUUAGAUACCCUGGUAGUCCACGCCGUAAACGAUGUCUACUUGGGGGUUGUGGCCUUGAGCCGUGGCUUUCGGAGCUAACGCGUUAAGUAGACCGCCUGGGGAGUACGGUUGCAAGAUUAAAACUCAAAUGAAUUGACGGGGGCCCGCACAAGCGGUGGAGCAUGUGGUUUAAUUCGAUGCAACGCGAAGAACCUUACCUACUCUUGACAUCCAGAGAACUUUCCAGAGAUGGAUUGGUGCCUUCGGGAACUCUGAGACAGGUGCUGCAUGGCUGUCGUCAGCUCGUGUUGUGAAAUGUUGGGUUAAGUCCCGCAACGAGCGCAACCCUUAUCCUUGUUUGCCAGCGAGUAAUGUCGGGAACUCCAGGGAGACUGCCGGUGAUAAACCGGAGGAAGGUGGGGACGACGUCAAGUCAUCGUGGCCCUUACGAGUAGGGCUACACACGUGCUACAAUGGCGCAUACAGAGGGCGGCCAACUUGCGAAAGUGAGCGAAUCCCAAAAAGUGCGUCGUAGUCCGGAUUGGAGUCUGCAACUCGACUCCAUGAAGUCGGAAUCGCUAGUAAUCGUGGAUCAGAUGCCACGGUGAAUACGUUUCUCGGGCC
rnacentral:rRNA from 1 species